CUAAUUAUAGGGAUACUGAACCGAUUUUGAAAAUUAUUUUACCACUAGAAAGCCACGUUAUUUGUGAGUGUCAAAGGCUACAUUUUAUACCCAUAGAAUAUAUGGGUAUAAAAUGGGACGAAACACAGGACGAAAACUUUUUUGUCUAAGUUCAGAUUUGAUAAUAGCCAGGAAUUUAUUUCUAAUUUGUUUGUUGGUAAAUAGUGCACAUCGAUUUGGUUUUAGUACAGACAAACGUUUGUUUAUCUACUUGUACUUGUCUAAGUACAAGACAAACGAGGAGUACUUUCAUAUUAAUUUGAAUUCUAAAGCUUAUAAAGGGGCAAAUAGCUUGGUCAUUUCAAAUUAACUUUCAAAAGCUCACAUGGUUAAGAAAGACACAAAAGACUAUUUCUGACAGCCCUAAUUCACCAUUGUAUCGCGUUCAAAAACGGGAACCUUUCAAUGCACAAUGAGCAAUUCAUUACUUUCUGAACGCAAAUUAAACUUCGACAACGUAAUUCCCUCUUAAAUAAGUAAUACCUUGACGCAGUGGAAAUAAUAAAAAAAUAUGUAUAAUUCGUAUAAAUACUUAUAUCUUUACAUGGAGAAAGAAAAUGUAAAAAAUAUUAACCACUUUUUAAUAGCUUUGAGAUGCCUGUUCCAAAAUAAAAUUUCAUUAUGGUUAUGGUUACCUUUCUUUUUUUUCUAUUAAUUUGCUUCAAAGCUUUGCGUUCUAACCUCCGUCAGCGUAGUAUCCUCUGAACUGUUAAAAUUAAGUACCUAAAACAAAUAAAAUGAAACGUUAAUAUAAUGGAUGUUGAGUUGAAAUAUAACGUGAAAAGUUGUUUCAUUGUGAAUAUCUUUUCUGACUAAAUAGGUUACGGCGGGCUAUAAAAGAAGUAAAGUUUGGGACACAACAAACGUUUUAAAAAUUAUUAGUUUAUUACUUAUACAUAGGGUAAGUCCAGGAUAGAUGCCCCAGUGGGAUAGAUGACUCGAUUUUUAUUUCACUAUGUUAGGAGCACUGUAGGAGCUAAAUUUUACUGUAAGUAACGAGUCCUCCCCCCGCAAACCUUAGUGUCGGGAGGAAUUUUGACCGGAGUGCAUGCGCUUCGUCUGUGUGAGUAAAAAUCUUCCGCGGUGAGACGACAAAAGGCGCCAAAAUAAGAUUCGAGAGCAAAAUGCCUCGUAAAUAUAAAAGAAAACAGGGUGUUGUCCUUCGUACUGUAACCUAGACCGAAGACAGUAUGCUAGCAGCAUUUGAAGAGAUGAAAAAGGAAAAGAAAUCAGAUUUCUAGAAUAUAAGAUAUACCAUCCAAAAUAUUAAGACGAAGAUUUGCCAUUAAUGGCAAAUCUUAUUUUCAAAAUAACUGUAUAUGUACCUACUGUUGUUUUAAAUUUGAUUUACUUUUACUUUGUAUUGUAUUGCAUCAUAUCAUUGUAGUUAUUAUCUGGCAUAAUUAUUACUAAAAAAAUAUUAUAUAUAUCCAGCAUUUAUUUUUAUUUGUUUUAUGAAAACAUCCUGUAAUAACAAAAAACGACUCGUGGCUCUUACAUUCAAAUUAAGAGAAGCUGGAUUUCCGCCGGACCGAACAGCAAUACGUCAGUUAGCAUACCAGUUUGCUAAAAAGCUACAGCUAAAGCAUAACUUUAACGAAGAUGGCCAAGAAAUUAAAAUGAAAGUUAUAUAAAACACCAUAAAGACUGAUUAUAAUAAUAUAGUUUUUUGAUUUCAGAACAAACCAACUACAAUGUUUAAACUAAGUCGCCAAUCGCCACUAAGGGCACCUAUCCUCAGAAGCUUUUUCAUGAUAAGUCAUCUAUCCGCCACAGUAGGCAUCUAUCCCAUUUUUUAGAGGUCCAAAAAAUUACAAUUUACACAAAAUCUACACAGUCUAUAUCAGAACGAUUCAAAUAAUAUAGAACAUUAAGAAAUAUAUUUAAUAUCUCCCAAAGAACGCAAUGCUCUAAGAUUAUAAAAUUCAGAGUUAUUUAGCAUUUUCAAAAAGUGGGGCAUCUAUCCUGGACUUACCCUACA